UCUCGAUGAUUGGUAAAAAUUAUAAAUAAUAAUAUGAAAAAACAUACGCGCGUGAAGUUAGCCUAUCCUUUUGUAAAAUAUGGCUUUCCAGACUACUAAUCAUACUGGCCAUCUUCGCGUCCCAUCUCUCUCAUUUUUGUCGACCAAUUUUACAUACGGAUGACGUAUCUCAAUAUCUUUGGAUUUUGCGAUAAAAACAACGAUAGGAACAACUAUUUUCAAGUUGAUUCAACAACCGCGUUCCGUCCAGAUCGAGAGUCCAAUUUAGAUGAAUAUUAUAAAGUUUGAAGGUUGCUCGCUUUGAUAAACUCCCGGGGGAGCCCGACGCCGAUGAAUGAAGUCACUCGGGGGGACGGACGGGAAGAUCUCCCUCUUGUCUCAAGUGUGGUAAAUUAGUUGCAACCGCUCUCUCGCGAUAAAAAUGAGAGUGGAAAUACAAGUGCAUCGGAUCAUUUAAACCCCCUGACAGUUUUAUUUAUUUAUUUUUUUUUCGACAGAGAAUGUACAUCGCAAGAAUUGUGAACGUGUGCGUUAAUAAUGAAGACGUCGUCGUGCCAGCGCGAUGCAAAAGUAUUUUAUAAAUGUACAUUUCAACUUGUUGCCAAGGAUACAGGUUAAACCUUGAAAACUCGGUCACCUCGAUUCCUCGAGGAGGAGUCGUUGAUAGUUGAUAGUUGUACUACUACGAAACACGAUAGUAAUACAAACGAAAUAGUGACAAAAACAAAAUUUAAAAAAGGCUAUAAUCUAACCAGAAAUGAUUACAUUUACUUAUGCUAUAUACAUCUCGAGGAAUAAAUCGCUGACAUCGCAAAAAUUUGUGUAUUAAAUUAAUUUAUAAAAAAUUUCGUGAUUAAAACAUUAAGAUGAUAUAAAUCUCGUUUUCAUUAUACUAUUCAACUAAUAAUAUUCGUGACAACGAAUAUUUAAGGCUUUUAUGAUACCACAAAACGAAUCCGCUUAAUGAGGAGUUACGGGCGUUGAUCAGGAAUUUCUUGCGCGCGCAAAACGGCGUGUACACGCAUGCUUAAGCGCGAUGUACACAUCAAGUCCACGUCGUUACGCGCGGCGACACAUAUGCGAGGAUAUUCCCGUCCCCGCCUUCCCCCUGAGAGGAUAUUCCGCGUGCACAGACCGCACUGUUUAUCAAGUAAUGCAACUCGACGCCUUUUCAAGUAGCGUGUUAUGACACUUGAAAUAUCGGCUAGUCAUUACAAAUAGAGGCGAUAAACAAAUGAAAUCCGAUGACUAGCGGCAGCGAUGCCCAGCAAUGCGGAUCCGAGCGAUUGGCGUUAACUUUAUUCCACUUCCUCGUUUCACCGUGCUAUAAUUGAGCGGAGCUAACGAGUGCUUAGGCCGUGGCAAUUAAAAUCGAGGUUCCACCACUUUGUCGGCGAGCGAACGUAAAUCUAUUACUAACUACUGACUUCGGCAGCCAUGUGUAUAAUCGUAAAAUGAGUCUACUACAUGACAUUGAGUAAACCUGACUUCGUUAUGCGUAAAUAAUUAUUAUUGCAUAUAUGUACACGAUUGUUUGAUUUUUCGCCAAAAUGUAUUCGUUGAAAUAUAUAUUUUAUAAUAUU